UAAACCUAUUAUUCCAAUAAGAAAGGCCUCUGCUUUCUUAAUAAAUGUAUAUUUCAACAUUUUUUUCAAUUCAUUAUAAAUCUUUUCCCAGAAGUCCUUCACCUUGGGGCAGGUCCACCACAUAUGAUAGAAAGUACCCUCCUUCUCUUUACAUUUCCAACAUAGAUUAUCACUGUAUAUAUGCAUGCCACCUCCGUCUUGUACUUUAAUUCAUAUCCCAAUUAAUCAAAACCCUAGCAUUUAUUCAUUCCUUGGAUUUAGUGGGUUCCAUUAUUGUUCAGAGUGUCAGUUAAGAGGGACCAACUGCCUCUUCUUGUUUUCUUGCCUCAGACAUGCCUCAUGUUGUUGUAUCUAGUUUCUCUCAUUAUGACAGUUUUCUUUAUCAUUAAAGCUUAGUUACAUUCAUGUGAGCCACUUAUUUUUUUCUCAUAGCAAAGGAAACUCUGCUGAGGAAAAGUGUUGAAUGUCCUAAACUGCGUGAGUGAGGGGAUAUUCCCAGUUUGCCAGGAGGAUUCAUUUUGUAAAACAUCCCCCACCUCCAAAACAAUUGGGUUAUGAGCCCAGUCUGACAUAGAGAGAGAAAAAAUUAUGGCCACGUAUAUAAAAGCUGUGAAAGCCCUUGAGCCUGCUGUCCCUGUUCUCACUGUUGCGCAGCGGUACAUUAAUCAAGCAGAGUCUUCUUCAUAAGCAGAAUAAAACUUUACUGAAGAAAAUAAACUUGCUCAUAAACAGCAUAGUCAAAAAGCAUACACAGAGUGCUCAUAAUAGCUAGCUUAGUCUUCAAAGAGGCACAGAUCUUGAUUACUAAUUAACUGUAGUCCUGGAGCCACUCUGUCUGCAACAACACAACAUACUGCCUGAGACACACACACACUACCCUGCGGCCCACAGAGAUGGCUGGUUACAUUUAUAGGGGAAAUGAGUCAUGAGUCACAGCGACACAGCAUUUUACUGCUAACAGUUAGGCUUGAAAGAUUUGUGUAGGCCUCGUAGGCCGCACUGCCUAGGCCUUGCCUGCUUCUGCUCUCAGGAACCUUUGUCUCAUGACACUCACUUCAAGCAACUAUCCUUUAUGGAGAUUUCGAUGAAGAAUGAGCUGGUGAAAAAGGAUUUGUAAGCAACAAUUGAAAAAUCUGCACCAGCAGAAGAGGCAGAAAAAGCAAAGUCGGAAAUGCAGGACAGAAAGGCGAGGGCAGAAGUUUCAACUUAUAUACUGCACAACUUAUAUUUAACACACAAAAACAGAAACUGCAGAGAAAUUGGAGAUGCAAGUGUUGAAGAUCAAUUUGGGAGAUAGCCACAAGCAAUGCUUUCAGAGAAUGGUGGUGAAAUAUUGGUGUGCACUCUCUCUGGCUCUGUCCCCGAAGGCAUGAUGAUUAUGUGGCAGGCAGAUGGCCAAUCAGGUAACACCUCCGGCAUCAUAAGUGCAAGCAUUGGUAGCACAGCAUACUUCAGCGCUGAAGUACUACCCGUUUCGCAGGUGAACACAGGAACUUUCGCAGAUGAAUUUCAGCUGAAGUUCGUCUGUCGAGCAUCCCUACCUGGGUCCCAAACAAAUGUCAAUGAACCUGAAGAUAAUUCAAACCCGGCCUGGAAUGCGAGAUGAUGGCCAGCAUACAACAACAAAGGGGUCCUUCUCAUUCCUAUUUUUGGAAUGUGUCCAUCUGGGUCCAUUAAGUUCUCUUCUAGGGAAAUUUAUUUCUGCUUUCCAUUAUGGCCUGUUGAGAUAAGACUUUCCCCACCAGUUGCCAUGAUAUCAGUGCUAGUAUUGACUAAAGGCACAACUUGAAACUGCAAUCAGUCCGGUGGAGGUCUGAACAGUAAUUCUCCUCUUAUCUCUGCAGAAAGCUUUUCACCGUUCUUGAACAAUACUAAAUGCAUCUUUUUAUCAGAAAGUAACAAUGGGAGAAGGAAAGGAAAGAAUGUGUACCCUGCAAGGGCCAAGGUGUCUCCAACAAUAAUUUCCACCCUCAUUAAAAACCAUUCCCACCUCCAGACAAGGAUCCUUCCAACCUUCAUCUGCCUGUUAAUGUUUACCCAGCAUAGGGUGACCUGGAUGAACAGAUGGUGCCCUUCUGUUGGAGGCAGAUCCCACCCAUCAGGCUGGGCUUCUUCAGCCAUUCUGGGCAGCUCCCAACAGAAUUAAAAGUACAACAAAACAUCAAACAUUAAAAAU